AGCGGGGUGGGGUAGCCAGGAAAACCCGCUGGGCUCAUAACCCAGAGAUCGGUUGUUCAAAUCAACUCCCCGCUACCA
rnacentral:tRNA from 1 species